UACGGAGGGUGCAAGCGUUAUCCGGAUUCACUGGGUUUAAAGGGUGCGUAGGCGGGCAGGUAAGUCCGUGGUGAAAUCUCUGAGCUUAACUCAGAAACUGCCAUGGAUACUAUUUGUCUUGAAUAUUGUGGAGGUAAGCGGAAUAUGUCAUGUAGCGGUGAAAUGCUUAGAUAUGACAUAGAACACCAAUGGCGAAGGCAGCUCGCUGGGAACGGUACUGACGCUGAGGUGCGAAAGCGUGGGGAGCAAACAGG
rnacentral:rRNA from 1 species